rnacentral:lncRNA from 1 species
GCCGAUGAGGGGAUUCAUCACCCCCAUGAGAGCACUCGCUGUCACCCCAGCCAUCUCUCCUUGUGUAGCUCUCUACUCCACCUUUACUUUUUUUUUGAAACGAACGACAAGAAUUCUGCCUCUCAAUUAAGGAAGGAAUAAAAGAGUUUUAUGUACAGGUUGCAGAUCAACCGAAAGGGAAAACAAAGGAGGAAAAGAGGAGUGGCAAACACAUCAUAAACUCCAGCUUGCUAGCCUUCCCUUUCUAAAGCACGUCUACUCCAUCAUAUACUGUGAUGGAUACUGCUAUAUUUCAGCACUUGUCUGGCAAGAAGCUUCAUGCAGGCACCAACGCGUGGACUGAGGAAGUAAAGAGUCUUACCACUUUACCAGUAAGGGAAAUUGUUUGGAAAUGAUAGAGGCUUACCUCGCAUGUCAAGUGGGGUUCACCUCACGUGUCAAGUGGGAUUCUAGAAUAUAGGAUAGCUUGUACGUCAUUCAACACCACAAACUGCUAGAAGAAUUGGAAUUAUGCCAUUUUUAGAAUUUGAGUAGUCAAGCCUUCUCAAUUUGAUCGCUGCUAAUUACAGAGCAAAAGUAUUUAGAUCACUCGUGUCGUGUAUGUAGGGAUGAAAACGGAUCGGAUACGGACAGAUAUUACUGAUAUCAUAUUUGUUUUCAUAUUUCUGGUCGGAUUCGGAUUCGAAUACAGAUAAUGUCAA